ensembl:lncRNA
CCCUCUUUCUCUCAUUCCCUCUCUCUCUCUCUCUCUCAGGUCUCAUUCCCUCUUUCUCCCAUUCCCUCUCUCUCUCUCUCUCUCAGGUCUCAUUCCCUCUUUCUCUCAUUCUCUCUCUCUCUCUCUCAGGUCUCAUUCCCUCUCUCUCUCUCUCUCUCAGGUCUCAUUCCCUCUCUCUCUCUCUCUCUCAGGUCUCAUUCUCUCUCUCUCUCUCUCUCUCUCUCUCUCUCUCUCUCUCAGGUCUCAUUCUCUCUCUCUCUCUCAG